rnacentral:rRNA from 1 species
UACGUAGGGUGCGAGCGUUUAAUCGGAAUUACUGGGCGUAAAGCGUGCGCAGGCGGCGCGUUAAGACAGGUGUGAAAGCCCCGAGCUUAACUUGGGAAUUGCGCUUGUGACUGGCGUGCUGGAGUGUGGCAGAGGGAGGUGGAAUUCCACGUGUAGCAGUGAAAUGCGUAGAGAUGUGGAGGAACACCAGUGGCGAAGGCGGCUUUCUGGUCUGUAACUGACGCUGAGGCGCGAAAGCGUGGGGGAGCAAACAGG